rnacentral:rRNA from 1 species
GACGGAGGAUGCAAGUGUUAUCCGGAAUCACUGGGCGUAAAGCGUCUGUAGGUGGUCAAAUAAGUCAACUGUUAAAUCUUGAGGCUUAACCUCAAAAUCGCAGUCGAAACUAUUAGACUAGAGUAUAGUAGGGGUAAAGGGAAUUUCCAGUGGAGCGGUGAAAUGCGCAGAGAUUGGAAAGAACACCGAUGGCGAAGGCACUUUACUGGGCUAUUACUAACACUCAGAGACGAAAGCUAGGGUAGCAAAUGGG